CAAUUAUAUUGCUACAACCUAAGAAGUAACGAUUGGCUAAUCGUUCUCGAAAAGUAAGGAAUGGUCUGGCAUUAAGGCUUCAGAAAUGAGGCUUGUGUCGAAUAAAGCGUGAGAGUACACGAGCGGCGGACGGCUGAGUAACGCGUAGGAACGUACCCCAAAGUGAGGGAUAAGCACCAGAAAUGGUGUCUAAUACCGCAUGUGAUCUUCGGAUUAAAGCUUUAUGCGCUUUGGGAACGGCCUGCGUCUGAUUAGUUUGUUGGUGAGGUAAUGGCUCACCAAGACUACGAUCGGUAGCUGGUCUGAGAGGAUGAUCAGCCAGACUGGAACUGAGACACGGUCCAGACUCCUACGGGAGGCAGCAGUGGGGAAUUUUCCACAAUGGGCGAAAGCCUGAUGGAGCAACGCCGCGUGCAGGAUGAAGGCCUUAGGGUUGUAAACUGCUUUUAUAGGUGAAGAAUAUGACGGUAACCUAUGAAUAAGGAUCGGCUAACUACGUG
rnacentral:rRNA from 1 species